rnacentral:rRNA from 1 species
UCCGCAGGCGGGCAAUUAAGUCAGAGGUGAAAUCCCACAGCUCAACUGUGGAACUGCCUUUGAUACUGGUUGUCUUGAGUUAUAGUGAAGUAGAUAGAAUAUGUAGUGUAGCGGUGAAAUGCAUAGAUAUUACAUAGAAUACCGAUUGCGAAGGCAGUCUACUAACUAUAUACUGACGCUGAUGGACGAAAGCGUGGGAAGCGAACAGGAUUAGAUACCCUGGUAGUCC